UUAGUGAACCACUCUUAAGAUAUAUGUAUUUAAAAAUUUUUUUAUUGUUCCUUUUAAUGAUUCUUAUGGCUUGGGCAGAAAUCUGAAGUGUCUUUUAUUCUGUCUACCUUUCUCAGUGUUGCCAAGUUUACCCUUUGCACCACCAACACUGGGGUAGAUGCUUGCUUACUGAAGAGGGAUUGCUGUUCAUUGGUGUUUUGGGAACCUGUAUGUUCAAGGAUGUGGCCAUGGACCUAACCAAGGAGGAGUGGGGGCAACUGGACCCUGCACAGAGGGCCCCGUACAAAGAGUUCAGUGGCAUUUAAUACAUCAAAGGAUUGUAUAAUUACCUUCUCUGUCAAGUUCCAAAGCAUUUUCAUCACCCCAAAAGGAGAUACUGCAGUUCUGCAUCCAGACCACCAUAAUAAAGUGAGUGUAACAAUAAAAUGAGUCAUAAUCUUUUUGUUGGUGGAGGGUGUUGCCUUGAGCUUGUAAAAAACGCAACACCUGGUAAGUGCAAUAAAGCAGUGCAAUAA